GACGAACGCUGGCGGCGUGCUUAACACAUGCAAGUCGACAUGAGUGGCGAACGGUUGAUUAAUACGUUGGUAACCUGCCCUCCUUUUUGGGAUAAGCCUUGGAAACUGGGUCUAAUACCGAAUUAAGGGGGAUGGGCUCGCGUCCUUUCUGCGUGGUGGUGGGGUGAUGGCAUACCAAGGCGGUGAUGGGUAGCCGGCCUGAGAGGGUGAACGGCGACAUUGGGACUGAGAAACGGCCCAGACUCGUACGGGAGGCAGCAGUGGGUGAUAUUGGACAAUGGGCGAAAGACUGAUGCAGCGAGGCCGAGUGGGGGAUGAAGGCUUUCGGGUUGUAAAACUCGUUCGCUAGCGAACGGGUAGGUGGAGAAGAAGCGCCGGCUAACUACGUGCCAGCAGCCGCGGUAAUUC
rnacentral:rRNA from 1 species